rnacentral:rRNA from 1 species
CCAGACUCCUACGGGAGGCAGCAGUGGGGAAUAUUGCACAAUGGGGGAAACCCUGAUGCAGCGACGCCGCGUGAGUGAAGAAGUAUUUCGGUAUGUAAAGCUCUAUCAGCAGGGAAGAAAAUGACGGUACCUGAUUAAGAAGCCCCGGCUAACUACGUGCCAGCAGCCGCGGUAAUACGUAGGGGGCAAGCGUUAUCCGGAUUUACCGGGUGUAAAGGGAGCGUAGACGGCAGCACAAGUCUGGAGUGAAAUGCCGGGGCUUAACCCCGGAACUGCUUUGGAAACUGUGCAGCUAGAGUGCAGGAGAGGUAAGUGGAAUUCCUAGUGUAGCGGUGAAAUGCGUAGAUAUUAGAAGGAACACCGAUAGCGUAGGCAGGUUACUGGGACGGUUCUGACACUAAGGCACGAAAGCGUAGGGAGCAAACGGGAUUAGAUACCCGCGUAU